GGACCAUUAGCUCAGUUGGUUAGAGCGUCCGGCUCAUAACCGGAUGGUCUGGGGUUCAAGUCCCUGAUGGUCCA
rnacentral:tRNA from 2 species